AAUGGCUCAUUAAAUCAGUUAUCGUUUAUUUGAUAGUACCUACCAACUACUUGGAUAACCGUGGUAAUUCUAGAGCUAAUACAUGCUAAAAACCCCGACUUCGGGAGGGGUGUAUUUAUUAGAUAAAAAACCAAUGCCCCUCGGGGCUCCUUGGUGAUUCAUGAUAACUUAACGGAUCGCAUGGCCUUGCGCCGGCGACGGUUCAUUCAAAUUUCUGCCCUAUCAACUUUCGAUGGUAAGGUAUUGGCUUACCAUGGUUUCAACGGGUAACGGGGAAUUAGGGUUCGAUUCCGGAGAGGGAGCCUGAGAAACGGCUACCACAUCCAAGGAAGGCAGCAGGCGCGCAAAUUACCCAAUCCCGACUCGGGGAGGUAGUGACAAUAAAUACUGAUACAGGGCUCUUUUGGGUCUUGUAAUCGGAAUGAGUACAAUUUAAACCCCUUAACGAGGAACAAUUGGAGGGCAAGUCUGGUGCCAGCAGCCGCGGUAAUUCCAGCUCCAAUAGCGUAUAUUAAAGUUGUUGCAGUUAAAAAGCUCGUAGUUGAACCUUGGGCCUGGCUGGCCGGUCCGCCUCACCGCGUGUACUGGUCCGGCCGGGCCUUUCCUUCUGGAGAACCGCAUGCCCUUCACUGGGUGUGUCGGGGAACCAGGACUUUUACUUUGAAAAAAUUAGAGUGUUCAAAGCAGGCCUUUGCUCGAAUACGUUAGCAUGGAAUAAUAGAAUAGGACGUGCGGUCCUAUUUUGUUGGUUUCUAGGACCGCCGUAAUGAUUAAUAGGGAUAGUCGGGGGCAUCAGUAUUCAAUUGUCAGAGGUGAAAUUCUUGGAUUUAUUGAAGACUAACUACUGCGAAAGCAUUUGCCAAGGAUGUUUUCAUUAAUCAGUGAACGAAAGUUAGGGGAUCGAAGACGAUCAGAUACCGUCGUAGUCUUAACCGUAAACUAUGCCGACUAGGGAUCGGGCGAUGUUUCUAUCUUGACUCGCUCGGCACCU
rnacentral:rRNA from 1 species